rnacentral:rRNA from 1 species
GAGUUUGAUCCUGGCUCAGAUUGAACGCUGGCGGCAUGCCUUACACAUGCAAGUCGAACGGCAGCACGGGAGCUUGCUCCUGGUGGCGAGUGGCGAACGGGUGAGUAAUGCAUCGGAACGUAUCCUGGAGUGGGGGAUAACGUAGCGAAAGUUACGCUAAUACCGCAUAUUCUGUGAGCAGGAAAGCGGGGGACCUUCGGGCCUCGCGCUCUUGGAGCGGCCGAUGUCGGAUUAGCUAGUUGGUGAGGUAAAGGCUCACCAAGGCGACGAUCCGUAGCAGGUCUGGAGA